rnacentral:snoRNA from 1 species
GAAAUUAUGCUUGCAUUAGAAAAGAGGAAAGGUCUCAAAUCAGUAAUCUAAGUUGCUACAUCAAGAAAAUAGAAACCACGAGGAGGCGGCACAGCGUUCUCUCCAGAGCGUGGAGCCAGCUCUUGGUGUUGCUUCGCAGCAACUGCUGUUUGCCAUUAAUGAUCAUUCUUCUCUCUCUUUUUGGAGGAGUAAGAGAGAGAGGACACAGUCUGAGUGGG